rnacentral:rRNA from 1 species
GAUGAACGCUAGCGGCAGGCUUAACACAUGCAAGUCGAGGGGCAGCAUAAAACAUUGCUUGCAAUGUUUGGUGGCGACCGGCGCACGGGUGCGUAACGCGUAUGCAACCUACCUAUAACAGGGGGAUAACACUGAGAAAUUGGUACUAAUACCCCGUAACAUCAGAGGAGGCAUCUUGAGGUAAUUAAAUCUUCGGAGGUAUAAGAUGGGCAUGCGUAGCAUUAGCUAGAUGGUGCGGUAACGGCGUACCAUGGCGACGAUGCUUAGGGGUUCUGAGAGGAAGGUCCCCCANACUGGUACUGAGAUACGGACCAGACUCCUACGGGAGCAGCAGUGAGGAAUAUUGGUCAAUGGUCGGAAGACUGAACCAG